UACGUAGGCGGUGAUUCAAGUCAGAGGUGAAAGCCUGGAGCUCAACUCCAGAACUGCCUUUGAAACUAGAUCGCUAGAAUUAUGGAGAGGUUAGUGGAAUUCCGAGUGUAGAGGUGAAAUUCGUAGAUAUUCGGAAGAACACCAGUGGCGAAGGCGACUAACUGGACAUAUAUUGACGCUGAGGUACGAAAGCGUGGGGAGCAAACAG
rnacentral:rRNA from 1 species